UACGUAGGCAGCGAGCGUUGUUCGGAGUUACUGGGCGUAAAGGGUGCGUAGGCGGUUGUUUAAGUUUGGUGUGAAAUCUCCCGGCUCAACUAGGAGGGUGCGCCGAAUACUGAAUGACUAGAGUGCGGGAGAGGAUAGUGGAAUUCCUGGUGUAGCGGUGAAAUGCGUAGAUAUCAGGAGGAACACCGGUGGUGUAGACGGCUAUCUGGACCGUAACUGACGCUGAGGCACGAAAGCGUGGGUAGCAAACAGG
rnacentral:rRNA from 1 species